rnacentral:lncRNA from 1 species
AAAAAAAAAAAACUAGUUUUCAAAAAAUAAAAUUGAACUGAAAAAGAGAGAUAGAGAUAGAGAUAGAGAUAGAUACCAGCUCCUUUGGAAUCAGCUCCUUGAAUGAGAGUGAGAUUAACCAUAAGAGGUUGUUGCAAUUGAUUAUCAUAUAGUGAGAAAGAAAAUAGUGACUCAGAUUCAGAGGAGAUAAACCCAGAAACUAAGAAUGUAAAUUGAGCUGCAAACAAAAUCAGCAACUUCAUUUUCAAUGUUUGAUUUUGCUACUGAUAAUGAUAGAUACUAAUUAAGCUUCAAUUCAUUACAGUGUCAUGAGUUUGUGUUGGUUUAAGUAAGGAACAUUCUCUUCUCUUUUGGAGGAAACAAAAAGGUUAUCUAACUACAAA